rnacentral:rRNA from 1 species
UGCCAGCCGCCGCGGUAAUACGAAGGGGGCUAGCGUUGUUCGGAAUUACUGGGCGUAAAGCGCGCGCAGGCGGUUUAGCAAGUUGAGAGUGAAAUCCCGGGGCUCAACCCCGGAACUGCUUUCAAAACUGCUAGACUAGAGUAUGGUAGAGGAUAGUGGAAUUCCUAGUGUAGAGGUGAAAUUCGUAGAUAUUAGGAGGAACACCAGUGGCGAAGGCGACUGUCUGGGCCAUUACUGACGCUGAGGCGCGAAAGCGUGGGGAGCAAACAGGAUUAGAUA